rnacentral:tRNA from 1 species
GGGUUACUUCGUAAUUCAAUUGGUUAGAAAGCUUCGCUUCUGCGAAGAAGCGCGGGUUCGAAUCCCGCCCAGUCCCU